UCUGCCCCUUGAGGCGUUGCAGCUCAACUGUCUGUGUUGUAGCUGUGUCAUAAGGUGGCAGAGAGAGACUGGUGGUGGUCUCUACCAAGGCUCUACAACAACACUGAGAACUUGGAGGGAUUUGUCACCAAACAUG